rnacentral:rRNA from 1 species
GAUGAACGCUGGCGGCGUGCCUAAUACAUGCAAGUCGAGCGAACGGACGAGAAGCUUGCUUCUCUGAUGUUAGCGGCGGACGGGUGAGUAACACGUGGAUAACCUACCUAUAAGACUGGGAUAACUUCGGGAAACCGGAGCUAAUACCGGAUAAUAUUUUGAACCGCAUGGUUCAAAAGUGAAAGACGGUCUUGCUGUCACUUAUAGAUGGAUCCGCGCUGCAUUAGCUAGUUGGUAAGGUAACGGCUUACCAAGGCAACGAUGCAUAGCCGACCUGAUAGGGUGAUAGGCCACACUGGAACUGAGACACGGUCCUGACUCCUACGGGAGGCAGCAGUAGGGAAUCUUCCGCAAUGGGCGAAAGCCUGACGGAGCAACGCCGCGUGAGUGAUGAAGGUCUUCGGAUCGUAAAACUCUGUUAUUAGGGAAGAACAUAUGUGUAAGUAACUGUGCACAUCUUGACGGUACCUAAUCAGAAAGCCACGGCUAACUACGUG